CGACCGGCGCACGGGUGAGUAACACGUAUGGAACCUGCCCUAUGCAGGGGGAUAAGCGGAAGAAAUUCCGUCUAAUACCGCAUAACACCUUUAGGAGACAUCUUCUUGGGGGUCAAAGGAGGCGACUCCGGCAUAGGAUGGCCAUGCGUCGCAUUAGCUAGUCGGCGGGGUAACGGCCCACCGAGGCGGCGAUGCGUAGGGGUUCUGAGAGGAAGGUCCCCCACACUGGUACUGAGACACGGACCAGACUCCUACGGGAGGCAGCAG
rnacentral:rRNA from 1 species